UUGUGCUGGCUGAUCAGUCAUCCUGUAGACAACGAAAAAAAGAACACGGUAAAAAAAAUGAACAUGAUAAAGAACAAAUGGCAUAAACAUAAGUCACAUACUCACAUCGCCUAAAUUCUCCUUCAAAUCCUAACUUAUCAUUCAUCUGUUAAAGAAGCGAUCUUAAAGAUCAAAUAUCAAGUCCUUAAACCUUGGGAUGUGCUCAUAAGCAAACACAAACAAAGAUCGAAAUAAUAUACUUGGUUCUCAAAAACCAAGCUCAAUAAGAGCUAACAAAUGUAUAGAAUUCCAUGACAAUAGUCUACUUGGUAAGAAAUCGAAAACAAUGACUGCAUAAAUCUACCACAAAGACUUUUAUUGAGAACUUGUGAUCACGAAAUGAGUGGCUUGAAAAUACUUACGAGUGGUUAUUAUAUUAAAUUCGAGAUUUUUCAAUCAAAAUUUAAAAACGCAUAAACCCAUCUGAACAUCUAAAAAAAUUGAACUUCUGAUAAACCCUAAGAAACAUCAGACGACUUAAAACCCUGAAUCUCAAAACCCUGACCUUAAAUUACGAAAUCUCAUCAAUAAGAUAACAACAACACCAAACUCAUAAGCCAAUUGGGUAACAAUUCAAUUCAACGAGCAAGCAAGCAAAUCAAAUCUGCGAAAAAUGUUCCCUUUUUUUCCUUUGCAGCAUCUUACAAUUCUCGACAUAAAAUUCUCAAAAAGAGGAAAAAGAAAAAAGAAACCUUUGAAUGAAUUUGCAGAGGAA